GAGGAGAGGCAGAUCACGAGCUCUUCAGCUACUGCUACUUGGCAAUCUGGUGGUGGUAAUGGAGUAAAUCUUCAGAGGCAAGGCUCGUUAAUGAGGUCUGGAGAGUCUUGAUCACCAAGGAGAGCAACGAAAAUAAAUAACGGUGGUAAUGGCGGGUCGAGUGCUCCAAGGAGGCAACAUACUUCAGGAGAAAUGACUCUGGAGGAUUUUUGGUCCGUUCUGGGGUUGUAAGAGAAGGUAACUACGCUAUCAGUAACGGGUUUUACCCUUACAGCAAUGCCCGGUUUGGCUUCCGGGGUUCAUCAGGCUAAUAGUGGCAGCAUAUCAUUCGGGAUAUAAAAAAUUGUAUGAGCUUUCGUCAACCAGAACCAGGUCUAGUCCUCAAAGUGGAUGGCACAAGGCAGCAGCUGCAACAGCAGCCACAGCGACAGUUAUUACAACCUCGGACGCAGCUGCAGCCACAAACCCUUUUCCCGAAACAAGUGAAUGCGGCAUUAGCUGGAGUUCCAGGCAAUUCUGUUAAGAAUAGCAGCAGUUUAAUUGGUUUGGAACUGAGGUUUGCUGUUUCUGCAACUUCUCCAGGGACAAGUAGUGCAGAUACUGAUUAUUUAUCCUCGGUUCCUUAUAUUUUGGUCGGAAAAGGAGAAGCAAUGUGACAGUUGAGAAGGUUAUCAAGCGAAGACAAAAGAGAAUGAUCAGGACUCGGGAAUCCACUGCUAGAUCAAGGGCUCGAAAGCAGGCUUUUACACCUUGGAACUGGAAGCUGAAGUUGAAAAGCUCAAGAAACUGAACCAAGAAAAUUGCACAAAAUCUAUCUCUGCUUCGUGACUCUCCUUUUAGAGUUUGGCAUUGGCAGUUGAGAAAAACUGAGCUUUCACUCUGUGACAGCCCAAAACGACGGAAAUGCUGAAGAAUGAGCUCGAGGAACCGAUGAAUCGCCCCGUGGGAAGGCAAGAGGAAAUGCUUGAGAAGAACACCAACUGACCCGUGGUAAGGUGAGCGAAUAAAGCAAACGGAAACCGGGUAAACAAAAAUGCAAGAAGAAAGAACUAGUUUUAAUUUUAUUACCUGAAAAAUCUAGGGCUAGUU